GGAUUCUCCAUCCAAUUUUAAUUGAAAAUACUUGAGAAGGGUGUUCAAAGUUAUCUGACUGAGAAUAGGAUCCUUGACAUGUACCAAUCUGGGUUUCAUGCAAUGCACAGCACUGGGUCUGCACCCCUGAAAGUUACAAAUUAUCUGCUGCUCACCUCUGACUCAAAGGGCGGUUCAGUUUUAGUCAUCUUAGAUCUGACUGCUGCCUCCAAUAGAGUGGAUCAUGGAGUCUUACUUGAGCAAGUGGAGCGUUGUGUUGGGGUAAAAUGUGUUGGGGUAAAGUGGAGCGUUGUGUUGGGGUAAGGUGGAGCGUUGUGUUGGGGUAAAGUGUGUUGGGGUAAAGUGUGUUGGGGUAAAGUGGAGUGUUGUGUUGGGGUAAAGUGUGUUGGGGUAAAGUGGAGCGUUGUGUUGGGGUAAAGUGUGUUGGGGUAAAGUGGAGUGUUGUGUUGGGGUAAAGUGUGUUGGGGUAAAGUGUGUUGGGGUAAAGUGUGUUGGGGUAAAGUGGAGUGUUGUGUUGGGGUAAAGUGUGUUGGGG
ensembl:lncRNA